AGGAGAUGAAGAAACUCUACUCUGUCAUACUGGUGAAAUUUGGAGAACCGGCGGAUCAAGACUCUCAGGAGCUCUUCGGGGUGAUCAAUCAGUUCAUCCACGACUUUAAAAGGGCCAAAGCUGAAACUGUAUGAGUCAGCCUGCAUGUUUUAAAGAUAAUACAUUUGGGGAUUUUUAAACAUCUCUCCUAACCUGGAGGAUCAGUGUAUGACAUGCACGAAAAGGAUGGAUUCUAGCGCUGAAUUAUUGAAGUAGGUCUCAGGCCGACACCUUCACGUCUGAUGAUGUUCCACGGUGAGUGUACAGUCAAGCCUUUUUCCAAUAAACUGAGGACACCUGAACA
rnacentral:lncRNA from 1 species